rnacentral:rRNA from 1 species
CGCUAGCUACAGGCUUAACACAUGCAAGUCGAGGGGCAUCAGGAAGAAAGCUUGCUUUCUUUGCCGGCGACCGGCGCACGGGUGAGUAACACGUAUCCAACCUGCCCUUUACUCGGGGAUAGCCUUUCGAAAGAAAGAUUAAUACCCGAUAGCAUAAUGAUUCCGCAUGGUUUCAUUAUUAAAGGAUUCCGGUAAAGGAUGGGGAUGCGUUCCAUUAGGUUGUUGGUGAGGUAACGGCUCACCAAGCCUUCGAUGGAUAGGGGUUCUGAGAGGAAGGUCCCCCACAUUGGAACUGAGACACGGUCCAAACUCCUACGGGAGGCAGCAGUGAGGAAUAUUGGUCAAUGGGCGCUAGCCUGAACCAGCCAAGUAGCGUGAAGGAUGAAGGCUCUAUGGGUCGUAAACUUCUUUUAUAUAAGAAUAAAGUGCAGUAUGUAUACUGUUUUGUAUGUAUUAUAUGAAUAAGGAUCGGCUAACUCCGUGCCAGCAGCCGCGGUAAUACGGAGGAUCCGAGCGUUAUCCGGAUUUAUUGGGUUUAAAGGGAGCGUAGGUGGACUGGUAAGUCAGUUGUGAAAGUUUGCGGCUCAACCGUAAAAUUGCAGUUGAUACUGUCAGUCUUGAGUACAGUAGAGGUGGGCGGAAUUCGUGGUGUAGCGGUGAAAUGCUUAGAUAUCACGAAGAACUCCGAUUGCGAAGGCAGCUCACUGGACUGCAACUGACACUGAUGCUCGAAAGUGUGGGUAUCAAACAGGAUUAGAUACCCUGGUAGUCCACACAGUAAACGAUGAAUACUCGCUGUUUGCGAUAUACAGUAAGCGGCCAAGCGAAAGCAUUAAGUAUUCCACCUGGGGAGUACGCCGGCAACGGUGAAACUCAAAGGAAUUGACGGGGGCCCGCACAAGCGGAGGAACAUGUGGUUUAAUUCGAUGAUACGCGAGGAACCUUACCCGGGCUUAAAUUGCAGUGGAAUGAUGUGGAAACAUGUCAGUGAGCAAUCACCGCUGUGAAGGUGCUGCAUGGUUGUCGUCAGCUCGUGCCGUGAGGUGUCGGCUUAAGUGCCAUAACGAGCGCAACCCUUAUCUUCAGUUACUAACAGGUCAUGCUGAGGACUCCGGAGAGACUGCCGUCGUAAGAUGUGAGGAAGGUGGGGAUGACGUCAAAUCAGCACGGCCCUUACGUCCGGGGCUACACACGUGUUACAAUGGGGGGUACAGAAGGCAGCUAGCGGGUGACCGUAUGCUAAUCCCAAAAUCCUCUCUCAGUUCGGAUCGAAGUCUGCAACCCGACUUCGUGAAGCUGGAUUCGCUAGUAAUCGCGCAUCAGCCACGGCGCGGUGAAUACGUUCCCGGGCCUUGUACACACCGCCCGUCAAGCCAUGGGAGCCGGGGGUACCUGAAGUACGUAACCGCAAGGAUCGUCCUAGGGUAAAACUGGUGACUGG